rnacentral:misc_RNA from 1 species
CUAAGGAGUCCAUUCCACACCGUCGGUGGUCGAAGGACCACUCGGUGCCUGGACACCUAGUUGGUGCACUGGUAGAUCGUCAGCAGUCGUCGGAUCGGUCGUAGGCCUAACCUCCUCCUGAUCCGCGCUUCUGGUGGCGAUCACCGUCUUCUCUUCCGUUUUGAGGGAGUCGGACCCUGGGUUGGCGCCAUUCGCGCCUCGGGGUCGUCUCGAUCCUCAGCGCACCUUGAGAACUGCAGAGCAAGCACGAGCAUCUUAUUCUUUAACGAGAAUCAAUUUUGUUCUU